AGAGGUUAACGGUGCAUGAUAGGAUCUUGGCAGCAAACUUCUCUCUACUCCUCAACCACAAAAACAACUUCAGAAAUGGAUAGAGCCUGGGUCUACCUGGUGACAGGAGGAUGUGGUUUUAUAGGGGAGAGGAUCGUAGAGCUCCUGUCUCAGCAAGACUACAUCAAAGAAGUCAGAGUUUUUGAUUCAGCAGCAAGAGAAGAAGUAGAAAAAUUCACCACAGCUACCACUCAUGUGACAGUGAUGAAAGGAGACAUUCGAGACUACAAUCUGCUCCUUGCCGCCAUGCAGGGAGUUCACGUGGUUAUUCACACAGCUGCUAUUAUGGACUACAGAAACACUGUGCCCUUUUGGGAAAUGAGAGAUGUCAACGUUGGGGGUACUGAAAAUGUGUUAAGAGCCUGCUGUGACCUGAACAUCCCGUAUGUUGUCUACACAAGCUCCAUUGCUGCGGUGGGACCCAAUAUCUCACACGAGCCCAUGUUCAGAGGAAAUGAGGACACCAAAUACAGUGGGGAAGUGGAGCUGCCUUAUGGGAAGACAAAGGCCAUGGCAGAAAAACUUGUAUUUGAAGCCAACGGAAAAAAGCUGAGCAACGGUGGUAAACUCACAACCUGCAUUAUCCGUCCAAACACAGUGUAUGGGGAGAAAGCAUCGUUUCUUCAAGAGCUGUAUUUGUUAGCCAAAGCCAGGAAAGGUGUGUUGAACUACCUGGAGCCUGAAAACACAGAGCGUAAUAACACAUACGUGGGGAACGUCGCAUGGAUGCAUGUUCUUGCAGCAAGGAACUUGCAACUGAAACCAGACAUACUCGCAGGACAAGUGUAUUAUUCCUAUGAUGACACUCCAACAAGAAAAGGUUUUCUGAUAAGGCAUCGGCUGUUGUCCUCUAUGGACCCCUCAGUGAGACUAGGCUCACACAUCCCUUACUGGAAGAUGUGGUUAAUGAUACAAUUGCACAGGAUAAUCAAGGUUAUCCUGUACCCUUUCUGGAAGCCACCGGCUUUCAUAAACUUGCCUUUACUGAACACAAUAGUCACCACCUUCUCCUAUGAGACAGACAAAGCCUGGAGGCACUUUGGGUACAAACCCCUCUUCACCUGGGAAGAGAGCAAGCACAGAACUGUGCAGUGGUUGAAAGCAGCUGCAGGGAACCUGGAACCCCCCCAGCCGCGUGACAAGAAGAACUAAGCAGCAUGUUUGGGGGUCUCAGCCCUAUUAUGUAACAGCAGCAGCAAAAAGCGAGGGAAAAAAAAUAUUUCAGAUCUGUUUCUACUUCUGGAGAGGAGCCUUUGUGCACAAUUACUCAUCCAAGAGAUUCAGCAGGGAGAAGCAGAGAUGAAGCACAGAGGAGACAGAUGCAUGCCUUCUCUACCAGAGGAGCGGGGAGGAUGAGCAAGGAGCGCAUUGACAGAAAGACACCUGCUAUAUUUCAAACGCAGGUAAACUUCCCCAGCGCAAGCCAUGGUGUCUGCUGGAGUUGUCGGCUGAGCUGGAACACGGUUCUCCCUUCAUUUUCCAUCUUCCAAUGUCCCCAUGCGUGCACUGAGCAUUCACCCCCGCAACGCGCACACACACACACUUCAAAGAGCCACAUGCCUAACCCUGUUUGAGUUUCUAUGGAAGUCUCUGUUCUUGUGCAAUGUCUGAAGGAAGCAAGUUUGGUAAUAUUAAAACUCAAGCCAAACACAUAAACAAGCAAAGAAUCUCCAAAUUAAAAGGAAAAUCUCAACUGAGUUACUCAUUCAUCUGCAUUUUCUGUUGCGUUCUGUCUUCUCCUGGCAUGUUUCUUUUAGACAAAGCCCUCUGGGCAGAGACCAUCUCUUUUGGUGUCUGGUACAUCAGUCACAUAGUUAGUACAUAGUAAUAAAGGAAAAUAGAUUCACGGUAGGAGUUAAACCAGUCAGUCUGGUACUGUAAUUGGAACAUAAUCUCAUAUUGACAGUAUUUAACACAGGAUGCGCAGGGAACAGAUGGCAGCAUGCCCGGCCUCAAUCGUUCUGCAAAUAUUGGAAAGAGAUUUUCCAAGUCCAGCUCCUGAACCUCAUCUCCGAUGUCGGAAGCUUUGCUUCCCCAAACGGACCUAGAUCCACUCGCUAAUCCUGGUUAAAGCCCAACACACCCAUGUACUCCUGACAUGGAGCAGACAACCUGGCUAGCACCACUUCUAUUGCUAACUGUCUCACAAAUAUUUAAGGAGAUAUUUGAAAAAGCAUCAAGGGAAAAAGUCUCCAACAUCCGUUGGUACAAGCCCUCCCAAACCUCUCGACACGCUCGCAGCCUUUCCCUUACAGACACAGAUCUUGCCUGUGCCACAACACACGAACCCUUGUGCGCUUUCAGGGUCAGGGAUACCCACCAGCUGAUCAGCAAUUGGCAAUAAAUUGAGUUGUUGGCAAUAACGAGUUGUUCCUUUCUCUAAGCCUAAAAUGCUGAGCUAAAGCAGGUGAGAGGCGAGGAAGCACAUUCAUGGCCAAGAUGUAUCUUACGGUAUGGAGUGCAACUCUGCAAGUGCAGACGCAAACUCAGCUUUCCAAGGCUAUGGGAGAAGUAUAUUAUGUUUCUUAUGUCUGCUAAAGGAAGUUUAAAUUGAUUUUUCUCUAUUUCAGCAAUUAAUUCCCAUUAAUCAACUUACUGUACAAUGCUGCACUAUAAUUCACAAGUUUUAUGUAUUAUAUGAAUAAAAUUGCACAUAUAUUUUUAUGUGAUUUUCAUUUAAUUGAAUUCUAAGGAGAUUUAUCUGCUGGGUUAUUAAUAAAUCUUAAUAUGGCCUAUAACACUCAAUUGAUAUUUAAUUAACCUGCAAUAACUGCCUUGUAAAAUGUAAAUUAAAUGCUUUAUUUUUCCAGGCAUAUAACCUUAAAUCAAAUUCUUCAUUCUACCAGCAAAGCAAAAAGGAGUGGGGAAAAAACAAGAUUGCAGGCAACCAAGCCUUAGACCUGAAAAUAUUUGAUGUUUAAAGAGGUUCAAAAUGGAAGCCGGAUCCAGGCUUUGUAAUCAGUUCUCCCAAGGAAGUACUUUUCCACUGUCUCCCCACCUUUAAAGAUCACAAGAAUCUGGGUGGAUUUAGAUGAAACAUCAAAAUCUCAGGAGACUUGAAGAGAAAUGAGAGGCGCCCAUUAUUAAUAAUAAGGUUGCAAAUUCCCAUAGGUAUUGUGGUAUUUGGCAUUUUUCUUAAAGUCUUGGCUCCUAGAGUCACAUUAUCAAACAAGAAUGUCAAUUUUCAUUUAAAAAUGAAAAAAAGAAAGUUGUUAAAGACCUUUGAUAGGGGAAGAAGUUUGCAAACCUAAAUGUCAAAGGCAUGAGAACUAAGAGACAAAAAUACAUAAAAUUUGAUCCUUAUCUUUAAAAGUAUCAGAACUUUUUGAGAGACUUGAGAUGUUUGAAAACUGGGAGGUGGCAACAAAUGAUCAAAACAGCCUUUAUGAGAAAAGAUGAGAACAGUCCAAAUUAUAUUUUAAGAUCAAACUGUUCUCCUCCCCCUCCCCUAGCAAUUUACAUAGAUCUACAUUAAAUACUGCAAACUGCAUCAACAACUAUUUCUGAUUUCAAAACUUGGAUAGCUAGUUACCUUUGCAAAGUGAUUUGAAAACUUCCUGAGCGUACGUCUGUCUAAAAUUGAUAGGCCUAUAAAGUUUUACUGCCAUAGCAUCUAAACUUAGUAUAUCUUUCUUUUUUUUAAUGCAUGGAGCGGCCAAUCUGUCUUACAAUGUUUUAUUAAAUAGGGUAUUUCCACCAAAGGACAGUAACCCUUACUGUCUGUAAUCUGUCUGCAUUAGAUCACUUUAAAAGGUAUUAAAUGAAAAUCAAAAGUUAAAUGUACCAUGGAUUUUAAAGGUGUCACAGCAUGGAAGAAUAAAAAUGAAGAGAAUGGAUUCUGACUUGCAAUGAAUGAACGGAAAUAAAUCCAGAUCUUCUGUAAUGGAAAGCCUGUCCUCCCUCGCUGUUCAUCCUCUCCAGUCACUCAUUCGCCGCCCUGCUCCCCUAACUGACAGCCCGGGAGCCCCACUCAGCCUAACCAAGCGCAGGGAUUCUGCCCAGGAACUCGCGGGGCCGAGGGAUUUCUCAAACGGCUCCGGCAUGCUGUAGAGCAGGAGGGUACGUGAUCCUGCCGUCCCGUAGUGACUCAAGGGCUCGCGUGAAUUGCAUUGCCUAGAAAAGCAUUGCUGACUAGCCCAAAUUUUGCCACUCUCACACUUUGCAAGCAGCUUUGCUGCUUCAGAAGAGGAGUACCCGGAGCGGGGAGUCAGCAGAUGCAAGUGGCCUCAUGCUCGCAAUAAUUGACUGGAAUUUUGCAGACCUGGGUUUAAUCCCCAGCUCCAGCAUGGACUCACUGGGUAAUUUACAGCUGGUUUCUUCCUCUCUGUCUCUCUGCAUUUUAUGAUUUUGGCAAUUGAUCAGAAUUAGCCUCCUCUCCUUCUCUUACCUUUCAUCUUUUUAAUGGAGAACGUAUCCUGCAAGCGUGCUUUGUCGGAUCUGCUGUCAGCCGUCGCUGGAGGGGAGCUGAGCCCAGCCUGAGUCUGCAGACCACAGCUCCUUCCCAGGACACUUGGGUUUUACUCUACUGGAUAAACAUUGACACGCUAGAUUUUUUUUGCCCCCCUCAAAGUAGGUUUCUGAUUGAGCUGAAUCUAGCACAGCUCUCAUUAAGGACUGACCAUGACUGACAGUUUACAUUUACUUGGGUAGCACUUUUUAUCCAGCAAAGUCACCUGGGAGCUGCACUAAGAAGAAACACAGGAGUCCCAUCUACCCACAGACUACUCCUAACGACACUCCUGGGAAUUAAACCACAACAUGAGGAACAAAUGUAAUAGAUCAAAAAUUGGGGGGCUGCAAGUUCUCAGAAGUGCUUAGGACCUGACAGGCUCCCCACAGAAAUUUUACCACUAAGUUUAAUAAAAACAGAAGUAAGCCAAGUGUAGGACUGCUGGUGGCCCCUGCGUGAACAGUCUCUCUCUCGGGGAUCUAAAAGCAGACCCACCAUCACCUGAAUGACUUCUCUCUGCCCUGACCACUGGACUAUCCUAUAGUCACACCCACGUCUAGCCCCAGUCCUAAAUCCCUUUAUGACCAUACCACCCGCCUCUUAAAUCCCCACUCCCAUC